UACGUAGGAUGCAAGCGUUGUCCGGAAUUAUUGGGCGUAAAGAGCUCGUAGGCGGUGUGUCGCGUCGGCCGUGAAAACCUGCAGCUUAACUGUGGGCGUGCGGUCGAUACGGGCAUCACUGGAGUUCGGCAGGGGAGACUGGAAUUCCUGGUGUAGCGGUGAAAUGCGCAGAUAUCAGGAGGAACACCGGUGGCGAAGGCGGCUUUCUGGACAGAAACUGACGCUGGAGGCGCGAAAGCUAGGGGGGGCAAACAGG
rnacentral:rRNA from 1 species